GUACGGGAGGCAGCAGUGGGGAAUAUUGCGCAAUGGGGGAAACCCUGACGCAGCGACGCCGCGUGAGCGAUGAAGGCUUUCGGGUUGUAAAGCUCUGUUCUAAGGGACGAAUGCCUUGGUUGUGAAUAAUGAUCAAGGGUGACGGUACCUUAGGAGAAAGCCCCGGCUAACUACGUGCCAGCAGCCGCGGUAAUACGUAGGGGGCGAGCGUUGUCCGGAAUUACUGGGCGUAAAGAGCGUGUAGGCGGGUAUUUAAGUCAGGUGUGAAAGACCGGGGCUCAACUCCGGGAUUGCAUUUGAAACUGGAUAUCUUGAGGGCAGGAGAGGAAAGCGGAAUUCCUGGUGUAGCGGUGAAAUGCGUAGAUAUCAGGAGGAACACCGGUGGCGAAGGCGGCUUUCUGGACUGUCCCUGACGCUGAGACGCGAAAGCGUGGGGAGCAAACAGGAUUAGAUACCCCGGUAGUCCG
rnacentral:rRNA from 1 species